rnacentral:tRNA from 1 species
UCCCUGAUAGCUCAGUUGGUAAAGAAUCUGUCUGCAAUGCAGGAGACCCUGGUUUGAUUCCUGGAUUGGGAA